ensembl:lncRNA
GGUGCAUAUAAGCAGUGGCAACAGCAACAGUGGGUCACCUCCACCAGUGCAGAUUUUUACAAGCAUGGCAUGCAGGCAAUUUUUCAUCACUAAUAAAAAUGCAGAGCUAAUGGUGGUGACUAUGUUGAAGAAUAGUGUUCUGCAGCUGAGAACUGGCUCUAUCAAAUAGUGUUACUGUGCUUUUGUAUCGACUGUAGUUUCCACAGAAAUGAAUAGGAGGCAUGACUUUCAGAACAACCUACAUACAUACACCCAACACAAUUUUUCUUUCCUCUGUGCAGCCUGGGUAAGUCAAAAGGUUGGACACCCAUGCCCUAGGAGGUCUGUAAAGAGUACGUUUUGGUGAGGAAACAGUGAAAUGGUGAGGAGGUAGGUCAGAAACUGUUUGAGAGACUAGUUAAAGGAAUAAAAAAAAACCCUCAGACCUUCCCCAAACACAAUGGAAGCCAGCAGCCUGAUAGGUAAUCGAUAAGGCCCAGGGGGCUUUCAGAAAGGGAAAAGUUAAGUGGGCUCUAAAUACUGAAGAGCAUUUCAGGGAGAUUCCCAUAGCAUGGGCUUUCCUGGUGAGAAGAAAAUAGGAGUAACUCAAAUUUAGUAGAGAAAGAUUUAGAACAGAUCAAUAAAAUAAGCAGUAAUUAAUCAGCAGGACUGUAUUAUAUUUCCCCAGGGCUGUAAAAGACCCGCUAGCUGCAGUGCACAACCUACCACUUAACAGGUGUUCAGGGAAUAAAACGUGGCAAAGGUGAUCCCAGCUCUGGAGAGGAAAAUUAGGAGAGGUCCAGAGAUUAACAGAUCCAUAAUGAUGACUUGGAAACACUAACCUGGGAAAAUUACGAUGAAGCAUAUCAUUAAAAGAUCUAGGAUAAACAUGAUACAAAGGGAAGAAAGUAUAGUGGCUUCUGUGGAGAGAAAAUCUUGCCUCAUAAAUCCAUUGAGCUCCUUUGAAAGUGUCAGUGUGAUCACAAGUUGUGGUGGUGUGUUAGUGCUACAGGAUGCCUGUGUUUGCAGAAAGGUUUUGACAAGAUCAAGAGAGUAGAUAAAUAAAGAUCUCAUAGUGAGUCAAGAAGAAGGAGUAGGAGUAAAGGAUUUAAUUUUUUUUUUUUUUUUUUCACAAAAAGAGUGAUUUCCAAGGGAGUCCCACCAUCAUCUACAAACAGCGUAGCAAAGGUUACUGAUGUUGUGAACUUUAGGACAAUAUAGACUAAAGCUGACUGCAGAGUGUCACAGGAACAGCUUUCAGUCUAACACACAGAAUUACUCUCACUCAAUUACUCUAUGUUGAAGAUGUGGACAUCUUCAACAUAGGUGUUAGAGAAACUGAGACACCUGAGGCUCGUUAGUAAUCAGUGGAAAGAGGUAUUUCUGAGACUGGAUUCCUCUGAUGUGUAAGAGACAGUUACAUUAGAAUUUGAGGAAUCAGCUCUAGAAAUGCCUCUUUCUAUCCACUUUCACAGUGAAAUGGGAAUGAAUGGCUGAGGCCAUUCAUCUACAUUUAGCCCGAUGGACCUGCUCUGAAUGUGCAGGCAGUAAAAUAGCAGACAAAAUUCAAUGUCAAUAAAUGUAAAGCAGUGAACAUGGAGGAAAACAACCUUAACUACAUAUAUAUAAUUUAAUGGGUUUUAAAUUGGUUAUUACCACUCAGAAAAGAGAACUAGGAGUUACUGCUGAUAAUUCUAUGUGGAAAGCUCUCAGUUCACUGUUAUCAGUGCUCAAAAAGUUCCUAGGAAAGGCUUAAAAUCAAAACAGAAACUAAAUGGUGGCACUGUGAAAAUGGUGCAUCCCUCCUGUUUCAGUGGGGACAGUUCAGGCCCCAUCAUUUCAAAAAUCAUGGUAAAAAUGGUACAGGUGUAGGACAAAGGCAAGAGGGUUGCCCAAAGGUUGGAACACCUUUUGAAUGGGGAAAGGUACAACAAGGAGGACUCAUCAUUACUGGGACCAAUGCUCUUUAAUAUCUUCAUCAAAGCCAUGAACAGUGGAUUGAGUGCACCCUCAGCAAGCCUGUAGACAACACCAAGCUGAGGGAUGGGAUACCAUCCAGAGAGACCUAGAUAAGCUGAAGCAGUGGGCCCAGGUGAUCAUCAUGAUGUCCAACAAAGCCAAGUGCAAGCUCUUGCACCUGGGUCAUAGCAACCCUGCCUAUCAAUACAAGCUGGGGAAUGUAAGAAUAGAGCACAGCCCUGCCAAAAAGGACCUGGGGGUACAGGUGGAUGGCAAGCUGAGCAUGAGCCAGCAAUGUGCCCUUGCAGACCAAAAAGUCAGCCGUAUACCCUGGGAUGCAUCAAAAGAAAUGUGGCCAGCAGGGCGAGAGAGGUGAUCCUGCCCCUCUACUCUGUGCUGGCAAGACCUCACCUGGAGCACUGCAUCCAGAUGUAGAGUGCUCAGUACAGGAGAGACACAGACCUGUUGGAGCACAUCCAGAAGAGGGCCACAGAAGUGAUUCAAGGGACGAAACACCUCUCCUACAAGGACAGGCUGAGAGAGCUGGGAGUAUUCAGCCUGGAGAAGAGAAAGCUCUGGGGAGCCUUUCAGUAUCUAAAGGAGAGCUGUAAGAAAGAAGGGGACAGACUCCUUAGCAGGGUCUGUUGUGACAGGAAAAGGGAAAAUGGUUUCAAACUAAAAGAGAGAAGAUUUAGACUGUAUAUAAGGAGGUUUUUUGUGGUAAGGGUAGUGAAGCACUGGAACACUGGAAAAACUGCAUAUUCGCUGCACUGACAGAUAUAAAUCAGGGACAAGAUGUUCCCUUUGUUUAGACAGGUUAUUCAGAGCUGCCUAUGUCUAGCAAAAGGCCGGUAAGUGAUCUGCCAGGGCUUCCCUUAAUGGCCAGAGUUUAAAAGGGUCCCAAUAAGGCACAGCAAAGCAGAACUGUGGCUGAGGACAGGACGUACUGAAACCCACCCAGGUGGAUCUACCAGAUUGACUGGGGACCACAGCAAAGGACCUCAGUGGAACCCUACAAAACCAAUCCAUAUAUCUUUAUAUUUGAUAUAUAACAUACUUUAUAUAAAUACAUAAUAUAUUUUUUUAACUCUGCAUACAGGCAUUUGGAAAAAUGUCUAAGCUGCUGCUUGGAGAUUGAUUCUUCAAAACUGCCAAAACUGCAAAUCCACUAAUGUGCCACAGAAAUUGAGAAUUAGCAGUGUCUGCCUUGGAGAUCUUCCAAACACAGAGAUAAUACUACGAAAAAAAUGGCAGAAAAGAAAUGAGAAAGAACUAGAAAUCUUUCACGUCCUUCACAGUGGAUAUACCACAGCUCCAUGCAGGAAGGAGUGUGGAUGUGUUUCUGCUUCCCUUGUGUCCCCCCAGUCCCACAGCACCACUGCUGGCACUGAAACCUUCGGCACACUGUGAGGAACCUACCCAGCCCCUCCAUGGGGACAUGCGGCACAAAGCCACUGCAGCAUUUUAGUUGGGCUCUCCCUUCUUCAGGAACUCAUGCUGGAUGAUGUCAACCUUUGUGGUUAACAGCUUAUUUAAUAAAAUAUUGAUUUUUUUUUUCCCCUCGUGCUGUAGGAAAUAAGACCUUCAAGCACGUUGAUGAAGUACUUUAGUUUCCUUAAAUUCUUUCCAGGGUCUUAACUGAAAGUCUGAAUCCUAAACUAGACGUUUCCCAUUCAUUUAUGCUCACAUUUCCUGCAAGUCCUAUAAAGUAUGUGCACCAAGUUGGCCGAUGAAGGAGCACACCACAACUUUUUUGAUUUCUCCAGAGGUAGAGGUCCACCAUCAGCUGUGCAUGGAAAAAUCUAUGAGUGUGAUUUUGAGAGGAAAAAGCCCUUACAAACAGCACUGGGGUAAAGCAUGGGGCAAAGCAUCAAUAUCUGUAAUAGCUUCUUGCCGACCAAAACUAAACAAAGUGGAAAUGAAAUGGUUUGUAUAUCUCACACAAGAAGCAUAUGUAAUUUGGAUAGUGUAAACUGCAAUUAAGCAGUGCAUGUGAGAAACAUACAUCAUUUGCAUCUCAUUAAUGAAUAAUAAAAUUAGUAUUAGAGAUGAGGAUGUACUACAAGCUGAGGUAUAGAGAUUUGGUUUAUCCCUAAAACAAAGAUUUUGAAAACAGAAACCAUUACAUUUUUAAAUAAUAAAGGAAAAUAAAGAGUAUCUGUAGGGUUCUGAAACAGUAUUUAACUGAAGGCCUAAUUUUCUAAAAUACAGAACAAAAAGACACUAUAAAGACUUUAUUUCAAGAAUACACAUGGUAUUCCUAAUAGUGUUCACUAUAAUGCAGAAUGGUACUAAGGAGUAACAGUACGCCUUGCUGAUGACAUCUAGGAAUUGUACCUGUACUGAUAAAUUCUGAAAUGAAGUAGCAUCAUCUGAAAUACAGAAACCUCAGUUUAAAAAUUUCUUUAUCUGCUAAGUUUGUAAUUUAAUCUUUCACAAAAUAAAUGGAUUGAAAUCAAAUUCUGCUUUUUUUUUUUUUUUUUUUUUUUUUUUUUUUUUUUAAC